AUGUUAACUCGAUCAGGAUGUUUCGGGGGAAACCCUAGAUCUGGGUCUACCAGAUCGGAGGAUGACGACGCCUUCGGUGUCAUUCUCCCUCCUGUGGGCAUCGUUUUGGAGCAAGUGCUGGCUGGAGGGGACAAGAGGAGGAGCAGUGUUACGUCUACCACAAGGCCGACGGUGGAUCUCGGCGGCAUGGAGCUACACAGUUUUGGCGAUGGGCGUGUGUGGAUGGAUACGUGCAGGAUGUCGGUGUUGUCUGGCACUAUGGUGGCGUCGACAUCAGGCUUGGCAAGGUCGAUGCGACAGUUCCUGCUCUGGAGAUGGAUCGGUAUAAGGCGGCAUGGCGGCCUCUGA
rnacentral:rRNA from 1 species